UACAGAGGGUGCUAGCGUUGUUCGGAAUCAUUGGGCGUAAAGGGCGUGUAGGCGGUUUGUUAAGUCAUGUGUGAAAUCCCUCGGCUCAACCGGGGAACGACGCAUGAAACUGGCAAGCUAGAGUACCAAAGAGGGGGGUGGAAUUCCCGGUGUAGCGGUGAAAUGCGUAGAUAUUGGGAGGAACACCAGUGGCGAAGGCGGCUACCUGGACCGGUUCUGACGCUGAGGCGCGAAAGCCAGGGGAGCAAACGGG
rnacentral:rRNA from 1 species